GACGAACGCUGGCGGCGUGCCUAAUACAUGCAAGUCGAACGCAGUGGGGACGGGUGAGUAACACGUGGGUAACCUCCCAUCAGAGGGGAUAACACUUGGAAACAGGUGCUAAACCGAUAUUGGUGGAUGGACCCGCGGUGCAUUAGCUAGUUGGUGAGGUAACGGCUCACCAAGGCCACGAUGCAGAGCCGGCCUGAGAGGGUGACCGGCCAAACUGGGACUGAGACACGGCCCAGACUCCUACGGGAGGCAGCAGUGGGGAAUCUUGGGCAAUGGGCGAAAGUCUGACCGAGCAACGCCGCGUGAGUGAAGAAGGUUUUCGGAUUGUAAAACUCUGUUGGUAGAGAAGCGGUAUCUAACCAGAAAGCCACGGCUAACUACGUGCCAGCAGCCGCGGUAAUAC
rnacentral:rRNA from 1 species